UACAGAGGUCUCAAGCGUUGUUCGGAUUCAUUGGGCGUAAAGGGUGCGUAGGCGGCGCGGUAAGUCGGGUGUGAAAUCUCGGGGCUUAACUCCGAAACUGCAUUCGAUACUGCCGUGCUUGAGGACUGGAGAGGAGACUGGAAUUUACGGUGUAGCGGUGAAAUGCGUAGAUAUCGUAAGGAAGACCAGUGGCGAAGGCGGGUCUCUGGACAGUUUCCUGACGCUGAGGCACGAAGGCCCAGGGGGAGCAAAACGGGG
rnacentral:rRNA from 1 species